AUUGAACGCUGGCGGAAUGCUUUACACAUGCAAGUCGAACGGUAGAGGGGGCAACCCCUCGAGAGUGGCGAACGGGGGAGUAAUAUAUCGGAACGUGCCUAGUCGCUGGGGAUAACGUAGCGAAAGUUACGCUAAGACCGCAGACGAUCUAAGGAUUAAAGGGGGGUAUCGCAAGACCUGGCGCGGUUGGAUCGGCCGAUAUCAGAUUAGGUAGUUGGUGGGGUAAAGGCCCACCAAGACAACGAUCUGUAACUGGUGUGAGGGGACGACCAGCCACACUGGAACUGAGACACGUUCCAGACACCUGCGGGAGGAAGCAGUGGGGAAUUUUGGACAAUGGGCGAAAGCCUGAUCCAGCCAUUCCGCGUGCAGGAUGAAGGCCCUCGGGUUGUAAACUGCUUUUGUACAGAACGAAAAGGUUUCUACUAAUACUAGAAGCUCAUGACGGUACUGUAAGAAUAAGCACCGGCUAACUACGUGCCAGCCGCCGCCGUAA
rnacentral:rRNA from 1 species